GACGAACGCUGGCGGCGUGCUUAACACAUGCAAGUCGAACGGAAAGGCCCUGCUUUUGUGGGGUGCUCGAGUGGCGAACGGGUGAGUAACACGUGAGUAACCUGCCCUUGACUUUGGGAUAACUUCAGGAAACUGGGGCUAAUACCGGAUAGGAGCUCCUGCUGCAUGGUGGGGGUUGGAAAGUUUCGGCGGUUGGGGAUGGACUCGCGGCUUAUCAGCUUGUUGGUGGGGUAGUGGCUUACCAAGGCUUUGACGGGUAGCCGGCCUGAGAGGGUGACUGGCCACAUUGGGACUGAGAUACCGCCCCGACUCCUACGGGAGGCAGCAGUGGGGAAUAUUGCCCAAUGGGCGGAAGCCUGAUGCAGCAACGCCGCGUGCGGGAUGACGGCCUUCGGGUUGUAAACCGCUUUCGCCUGUGACGAAGCGUGAGUGACGGUAAUGGGUAAGGAAGCACCGGCUAACUACGUG
rnacentral:rRNA from 1 species